rnacentral:rRNA from 1 species
AUUGAACGCUGGCGGCAGGCCUAACACAUGCAAGUCGAGCGGAUGAAGGGAGCUUGCUCCUGGAUUCAGCGGCGGACGGGUGAGUAAUGCCUAGGAAUCUGCCUGGUAGUGGGGGAUAACGUCCGGAAACGGGCGCUAAUACCGCAUACGUCCUGAGGGAGAAAGUGGGGGAUCUUCGGACCUCACGCUCUCAGAUGAGCCUAGGUCGAAUUAGCUAGUUGGUGGGGUAAAGGCCUACCAAGGCGACGAUCCGUAACUGGUCUGAGAGGAUGAUCAGUCACACUGGAACUGAGACACGGUCCAGACUCCUACGGGAGGCAGCAGUGGGGAAUAUUGGACAAUGGGCGAAAGCCUGAUCCAGCCAUGCCGCGUGUGUGAAGAAGGUCUUCGGAUUGUAAAGCACUUUAAGUUGGGAGGAAGGGCAGUAAGUUAAUACCUUGCUGUUUUGACGUUACCAACAGAAUAAGCACCGGCUAACUUCGUG